rnacentral:rRNA from 1 species
CCUACGGGAGGCUGCAGUGAGGAAUAUUGGUCAAUGGGCGCAAGCCUGAACCAGCCAUCCCGCGUGAAGGAAGAAGGCGCUAUGCGUUGUAAACUUCUUUUCCAGGGGAAGAAAACCAGAUACGAGUAUCGGCUUGCCGGUACCCUGGGAAUAAGCAUCGGCUAACUCCGUGCCAGCAGCCGCGGUAAUACGGAGGAUGCGAGCGUUAUCCGGAUUUAUUGGGUUUAAAGGGUGCGUAGGCGGACAAAUAAGUCAGUGGUGAAAACCUGCAGCUUAACUGUAGAAUUGCCAUUGAUACUGUUAGUCUUGAGUAUGGUCAAGGUAGGCGGAAUGUGUAAUGUAGCGGUGAAAUGCUUAGAUAUUACACAGAACACCGAUUGCGAAGGCAGCUUACUGGGCCAUUACUGACGCUGAUGCACGAAAGCGUGGGGAUCGAACAGGAUUAGAUACCCCAGUAGUC